GCAGCUGACAUUUAAUGUGGAUAUGUGCAAGAUAAUGCAUCUUGGACGUAAAAACCCAAGGGCAGAGUACAGAAUAUUUGAUAGAGUUCUAACCUCAACAUAUGAGGAAAGGGAUUUAGGGGUGAUUAUUUCUGAUGACUUAAAGGUAGGCAGACAAUGUGAUAGACAUUGUAAUGCUAGCAGAAUGCUUGGUUGUAUAGGGAGAGGUAUUAGCAGUAGAAAGAGGGAAGUGCUCAUGCCAUUGUACAAAACACUGGUGAGACCUCACUUGAAGUAUUGUACACAGUACUGGAGACCGUAUCUUCAGAAGGAUAUUGAUACUUUAGAGAGAGUUUAGAAAAGGGCUACUAAAUUGGUUCAUGGAUUGCAG